rnacentral:ncRNA from 2 species
CAUCUUUGCGGCUCAAUUGGUUUGCGCCUUUGGGCGUGAUGAAAAGGGAAUCCGGUGAAAAUCCGGAGCAGUACCCGCUGCUGUAAGUUCAUAAUGAAGCGUUGCAACAAGUUUGUGCCACUGGGAAGAAAUUUGAAUGAGUGAAUGAAUGAAUGAAUAAUAAAACAUUCACUCAUUCAAUCAUUCACUCAUUCACUCAUUAAUCACCCGGGAAGGCGUUGCGACGGAACGAGCCAGAAGACCUGCCAGUCGAUAUUUUAUCCG